rnacentral:tRNA from 1 species
AACACAUUGGCUGAAUGGUAAAGCUCUUGGCUUCAAAACCAAGGGGUCCCGGGUUCAAAUCCUGGGACUUUUA